rnacentral:rRNA from 1 species
AUUGAACGCUGGCGGUAUGCUUAAGACAUGCAAGUCGAACGGUAAGCUCUUCGGAGCCUAGAGUGGCGAACGGGUGAGUAACACGUGGGAAUCUACCCAGUAGCGGGGGAUAGCCUGGAGAAAUCCAGAUUAAUACCGCAUACGCUCUACGGAGGAAAGGCUUCGGCCACUAUUGGAUGAGCCCGCGUUGGAUUAGCUAGUUGGUGAGGUAAAGGCUCACCAAGGCGACGAUCCAUAGCUGGUCUGAGAGGAUGAUCAGCCACAUCGGAACUGAGACACGGUCCGGACUCCUACGGGAGGCAGCAGUCGGGAAUAUUGGACAAUGGGGGCAACCCUGAUCCAGCAAUACCGCGUGUGUGAAGAAGGCCUGCGGGUUGUAAAGCACUUUCGCUAGGGACGAUAAUGACGGUACCUAGAUAAGAAGCACCGGCUAACUCCGUG